rnacentral:rRNA from 1 species
UACGAAGGGGGCGAGCGUUGUUCGGAAUUACUGGGCGUAAAGGGCGCGUAGGCGGUUCGUACAGUCAGACGUGAAAUUCCUGGGCUCAACCUGGGGGCUGCGUUUGAUACGUGCGGACUUGAGUGCGGAAGAGGGUCGUGGAAUUCCCAGUGUAGAGGUGAAAUUCGUAGAUAUUGGGAAGAACACCGGUGGCAGAAGGGUCGGGUUGGCUGGG